CGUACACGGUGGAUGCCCUGGCAGUCAGAGGCGAUGAAGGACGUGCUAAUCUGCGAUAAGCGUCGGUAAGGUGAUAUGAACCGUUAUAACCGGCGAUUUCCGAAUGGGGAAACCCAGUGUGAUUCGUCACACUAUCAUUAACUGAAUCCAUAGGUUAAUGAGGCGAACCGGGGGAACUGAAACAUCUAAGUACCCCGAGGAAAAGAAAUCAACCGAGAUUCCCCCAGUAGCGGCGAGCGAACGGGGAGCAGCCCAGAGCCUGAAUCAGUGUGUGUGUUAGUGGAAGCGUCUGGAAAGGCGCGCGAUACAGGGUGACAGCCCCGUACACAAAAAUGCACAUACUGUGAGCUCGAUGAGUAGGGCGGGACACGUGGUAUCCUGUCUGAAUAUGGGGGGACCAUCCUCCAAGGCUAAAUACUCCUGACUGACCGAUAGUGAACCAGUACCGUGAGGGAAAGGCGAAAAGAACCCCGGCGAGGGGAGUGAAAAAGAACCUGAAACCGUGUACGUACAAGCAGUGGGAGCACAGAGCAAUCUGUGUGACUGCGUACCUUUUGUAUAAUGGGUCAGCGACUUAUAUUCUGUAGCAAGGUUAACCGAAUAGGGGAGCCGAAGGGAAACCGAGUCUUAACUGGGCGUUAAGUUGCAGGGUAUAGACCCGAAACCCGGUGAUCUAGCCAUGGGCAGGUUGAAGGUUGGGUAACACUAACUGGAGGACCGAACCGACUAAUGUUGAAAAAUUAGCGGAUGACUUGUGGCUGGGGGUGAAAGGCCAAUCAAACCGGGAGAUAGCUGGUUCUCCCCGAAAGCUAUUUAGGUAGCGCCUCGUGAAUUCAUCUCCGGGGGUAGAGCACUGUUUCGGCAAGGGGGUCAUCCCGACUUACCAACCCGAUGCAAACUGCGAAUACCGGAGAAUGUUAUCACGGGAGACACACGGCGGGUGCUAACGUCCGUCGUGAAGAGGGAAACAACCCAGACCGCCAGCUAAGGUCCCAAAGUCAUGGUUAAGUGGGAAACGAUGUGGGAAGGCCCAGACAGCCAGGAUGUUGGCUUAGAAGCAGCCAUCAUUUAAAGAAAGCGUAAUAGCUCACUGGUCGAGUCGGCCUGCGCGGAAGAUGUAACGGGGCUAAACCAUGCAC
rnacentral:rRNA from 1 species